rnacentral:rRNA from 1 species
AUCCCCUCGCCGAAAGGCGAAUUAAUACCGCAUGUGAUUAGAGAGGACAUCCUUUCGAAAUUAAAGUCGGGGCAACCUGACGCUUCUUGUGGGGCCCGCGGCCUAUCAGCUAGUUGGUGGGGUAACGGCUCACCAAGGCUUUGACGGGUAGCUGGUCUGAGAGGACNGCCAGCCACACUGGGACUGAGACACGGCCCAGACACCUACGGGUGGCAGCAGUCGAGAAUUUUUGACAAUGGGGGAAACCCUGAUCGAGCGACGCCGCGUGGAGGAUGAAGGUCUUCGGAUUGUAAACUCCUGUCAUUGGGGAACAAGGUGCAUACGUUAACUGCGUGUGCUUUGAUAGUACCCGAAGAGGAAGAGACGGCUAACUCUGUGCCAGCAGCCGCGGUAAUACAGAGGUCUC